AUUGAACGCUGGCGGCAGGCCUAACACAUGCAAGUCGAGCGGUAGAGCGAAGCUUGCUUCUCUUGAGAGCGGCGGACGGGUGAGUAAUGCCUAGGAAUCUGCCUGGUAGUGGGGGAUAACGUUCGGAAACGGACGCUAAUACCGCAUACGUCCUACGGGAGAAAGCAGGGGACCUUCGGGCCUUGCGCUAUCAGAUGAGCCUAGGUCGGAUUAGCUAGUUGGUGGGGUAAUGGCUCACCAAGGCGACGAUCCGUAACUGGUCUGAGAGGAUGAUCAGUCACACUGGAACUGAGACACGGUCCAGACUCCUAAGGGAGGCAGCAGUGGGGAAUAUUGGACAAUGGGCGAAAGCCUGAUCCAGCCAUGCCGCGUGUGUGAAGAAGGUCUUCGGAUUGUAAAGCACUUUAAGUUGGGAGGAAGGGCAGUAAAUUAAUACUUUGCUGUUUUGACGUUACCGACAGAAUAAGCACCGGCUAACUCUGUG
rnacentral:rRNA from 1 species